CCUACGGGUGGCUGCAGUGGGGAAUAUUGCACAAUGGGGGGAACCCUGAUGCAGCGACGCCGCGUGGGUGAAGGAGUACUUCGGUACGUAAAGCCCUAUCAGCAGGAAAGAAAAUGACGGUACCUGACGAAUAAGCCCCGGCUAACUACGUGCCAGCAGCCGCGGUAAUACGGAGGGGGCAAGCAUUAUCCGGAAUUACUGGGGGUAAAGGGAGCGUAGCCGGCAGUGCAAGUCCGGAGUGAAAGCCCGGGGCUCAACCCUGGGACUGCUCUGGAAACUGUAAAGCUGGAGUGCGGGAGGGGCAGGCGGAAUUCCUGGUGUAGCGGUGAAAUGCGUAGAGAUCAGGAGGAACACCAGCGGCGAAGGCGACCUGCUGGAACGUAACUGACGUUGAGGCUCGAAAGCGUGGGGAGCAAACAGGAUUAGAUACCCGGGUAGUC
rnacentral:rRNA from 1 species